AUGUAUAACAGUCUGUUAAGUAGGAACAAAUUACUCUGAAAGAGUUCUAGAUAGUUUUCCCUUAAGUCAAAUGUCUUGU
rnacentral:pre_miRNA from 1 species